AGAGUUUGAUCCUGGCUCAGAACGAACGCUGGCGGCAUGCCUAACACAUGCAAGUCGAACGAGGGCUUCGGCCCUAGUGGCGCACGGGUGAGUAACGCGUGGGAACCUGCCCUGUGGUACGGAAUAACUCCGGGAAACUGGAGCUAAUACCGUAUGUGUCCUGCGGGACAAAGAUUUAUCGCCAUGGGGAUGGGCCCGCGUAGGAUUAGCUUGUUGGUGGGGUAACGGCCUACCAAGGCAACGAUCCUUAGCUGGUCUGAGAGGAUGAUCAGCCACACUGGGACUGAGACACGGCCCAGACUCCUACGGGAGGCAGCAGUGGGGAAUAUUGGACAAUGGGCGCAAGCCUGAUCCAGCAAUGCCGCGUGAGUGAUGAAGGCCUUCGGGUUGUAAAGCUCUUUCGUACGCGACGAUGAUGACGGUAGCGUGAGAAGAAGCCCCGGCUAACUUCGUG
rnacentral:rRNA from 1 species